UACGGAGGGGGCUAGCGUUGUUCGGAAUUACUGGGCGUAAAGCGCACGUAGGCGGCUUUGUAAGUUAGAGGUGAAAGCCCAGGGCUCAACCCUGGAAUUGCCUUUAAGACUGCAUCGCUUGAACAUCGGAGAGGUAAGUGGAAUUCCGAGUGUAGCGGUGAAAUGCGUAGAUAUUGGGAGGAACACCAGUGGCGAAGGCGGCUCGCUGGACCGGAACUGACGCUGAGGCGCGAAAGCGUGGGGAGCAAACAGG
rnacentral:rRNA from 1 species